rnacentral:rRNA from 1 species
CGCGUAGGCGGUGCAUUUGGUCAGGCGUGAAAUUCCUGGGCUUAACCUGGGGACUGCGCUUGAGACGGGUGUGCUGGAGGGCAGGAGAGGCUCGCGGAAUUCCCAGUGUAGAGGUGAAAUUCGUAGAUAUUGGGAAGAACACCGGUGGCGAAGGCGGCGAGCUGGCCUGUACCUGACGCUGAGGCGCGACAGCGUGGGGAGCAAACA